UACGUAGGUGGCAAGCGUUGUCCGGAAUUAUUGGGCGUAAAGGGCGCGCAGGCGGCGUCGUAAGUCGGUCUUAAAAGUGCGGGGCUUAACCCCGUGAGGGGACCGAAACUGCGAUGCUAGAGUAUCGGAGAGGAAAGCGGAAUUCCUAGUGUAGCGGUGAAAUGCGUAGAUAUUAGGAGGAACACCAGUGGCGAAAGCGGCUUUCUGGACGACAACUGACGCUGAGGCGCGAAAGCCAGGGANACGGAGUAGUAGUACCGU
rnacentral:rRNA from 1 species